UACGUAGGGGGCGAGCGUUGUCCGGAUUUACUGGGCGUAAAGAGCGCGCAGGCGGUCGAUCAAGUCGAGUGUGAAAGCCCCCGGCUCAACUGGGGAGGGUCACGCGAUACUGAUCGACUCGAAGGCAGGAGAGGGAAGUGGAAUUCCCGGUGUAGUGGUGAAAUGCGUAGAUAUCGGGAGGAACACCAGUGGCGAAGGCGACUUCCUGGCCUGUUCUUGACGCUGAGGCGCGAAAGCUAGGGGAGCAAACGGG
rnacentral:rRNA from 1 species